rnacentral:rRNA from 1 species
GUGGGUAGUUUGACUGGGGCGGUCUCCUCCCAAAGAGUAACGGAGGAGCACGAAGGUUAGCUAAUCCUGGUCGGACAUCAGGAGGUUAGUGCAAUGGCAUAAGCUAGCUUGACUGCGAGCGUGACGGCGCGAGCAGGUGCGAAAGCAGGUCAUAGUGAUCCGGUGGUUCUGAAUGGAAGGGCCAUCGCUCAACGGAUAAAAGGUACUCCGGGGAUAACAGGCUGAUACCGCCCAAGAGUUCAUAUCGACGGCGGUGUUUGGCACCUCGAUGUCGGCUCAUCACAUCCUGGGGCUGAAGUAGGUCCCAAGGGUAUGGCUGUUCGCCAUUUAAAGUGGUACGCGAGCUGGGUUUAGAACGUCGUGAGACAGUUCGGUCCCUAUCUGCCGUGGGCGCUGGAGAAUUGAGGGGGGCUGCUCCUAGUACGAGAGGACCGGAGUGGACGCAUCACUGGUGUUCGGGUUGUCAUGCCAAUGGCAUUGCCCGGUAGCUAAAUGCGGAAGAGAUAAGUGCUGAAAGCAUCUAAGCACGAAACUUGCCCCGA